GCCAGAUGUGGUGGUACACACCUGUAAUUCCAGUGACUCGGGAGGCUGAGGCAGGAGGAUCACAAGUCCAAAGCCAACCUCAGCAAUGGUGAGGUGCUUAGCAACUCAGUGAGACCCUGUCUCUA
rnacentral:sRNA from 1 species